rnacentral:rRNA from 1 species
UUCCUACGGGGGGCAGCAGUAGGGAAUUUUCGUCAAUGGGCGCAAGCCUGAACGAGCAAUGCCGCGUGAACGAGGAAGGUCUUCGGAUCGUAAAGUUCUGUUGAAGGGGAAAAAGAGCGGAGAGAGGAAAUGAACUCCGAUUGAUAUUACCCUUCGAGGAAGUCACGGCUAAAUACGUGCCAGCAGCCGCGGUAAUACGUAUGGGGCAAGCGUUAUCCGGAUUUACUGGGUGUAAAGGGAGCGUAGGCGGCCUGGCAAGCCUGAUGUGAAAUACCGGGGCCCAACCCCGGGGCUGCAUUGGGAAC